ensembl:snRNA Gm24754 predicted gene, 24754
GUGCUCACUUUGGCAGCGCAUAUACUAAAAUUAGAAUCAUACAGAGAAGAUUAGCAUGGCCCCUAAGCAAGGAUGACACACAAAUUUGUGAAGCAUUCCAUAUUUUU